rnacentral:rRNA from 1 species
GACGAACGCUGGCGGCGUGCCUAAUACAUGCAAGUAGAACGCAGUUGCGAACGGGUGAGUAACGUGUAGGUAACUUCCUCAUAGCGGGGGAAAACUAUUGGAAACGAUAGCCAAUACCGCAUACUGCGAGAUGGACCUGCGUUGUAUUAGCUAGUUGGUGAGGUAAAGGCUCACCAAGGCGACGACACAUAGCCUACCUGAGAGGGGGAUCGGCCACACUGGGACUGAUAACCGGGCCAGAAUCCUACGGGGGGCAGCCGUAGGGAAUCUUUGGACAUUGACCGAAGUCUGGCCGAGCAACGCCUCGUGAAGGAAUAAGGUUUUCGGAUCGUAAAGCUCUGUUGUUGGAGGAACGGUAACUAACCAGAAAGGGACGGCUAACUACGUGCCAGCAGCCGCGGUAAUAC